AUACGGAGGAUCCGAGCGUUAUCCGGAUUUAUUGGGUUUAAAGGGUGCGCAGGCGGCCAUUUAAGUCAGCGGUUAAAUCGUGGGGCUCAACCCCAUUCUGCCGUUGAUACUGGGUGGCUUGAUUGCGGUCGAGGUUGGCGGAAUUCGUUGUGUAGCGGUGAAAUGCAUAGUUAUGACGAAGAACACCGAUUGCGUAGGCAGCUGACCAGACCGCAAAUGACGCUCAUGCACGAAAGUGCGGGGAUCGAACAGGAUUAGAUACCCUGGUAGUCCGCACAGUAAACGAUGAAUACUUGUUUUCGGCGAUAUAAUGUCGGAGGCAAAGCGAAAGCGAUAAGUAUUCCACCUGGGGAGUACGCCGGCAACGGUGAAACUCAAAGGAAUUGACGGGG
rnacentral:rRNA from 1 species